rnacentral:rRNA from 1 species
UUAAUUAUAGUUAAAUAGUAUUGUGAAAGAAAAUUGAAAUAAUUUGAAAAAUUAAUAUUUUAAAAGAAAAUUUAAUUUAUUGUACCUUGCGUAUCAGGGUUUAUUAAUUAAAAAUUAUUUAUUAUAAUUUUCUCGAUUUUAAAAGAGUUAAUAUAUUAUAAAAGUUAAUGUGACAAAAUUAUUUUAUAUAAUAUAUUAGAAAUGAAAUGUUAUUCGUUUUUAAAGGUAUCUAGUUCUUUAAGAAAUAAAUUUAAUUUAGAAAUAUUAUAUUAUUUAGUUAAAUGUAUUAAUUAAAUAAUUAUUUUAUUUUAAUAUUUUAUGGGAUAAGCUGUGAAAUAAAUUAUUAAAAAUUUUUAAAUAGUUUAAUAAAUAUAAGCUUAGAAAUAGCUAUUAUUAAUGAAAUUGUUAUAAUUUAUUUUAUAAUAUUUAUUAUUUAUUAAAUUUUAAUUAUGUAUUAGAGUAUUUAUUUUAAUUUUAAAAAUAAAAAAAUAAUGAUAAAAUUAGUAUAUUAUGAUGUAUAAAUAUGUGAAAUUGAUAAGUUUUUAUAAAGAACUCGGCAAAAAUAAUGUU